CAAAGACAGACAGGUGGGUGGAACCCUAAUCCUGACAGUCUCUCCUCCAGAGAGUCAGAGCCCAGGACAACAUAGGACAAGCCCUUCCCACCACAAAGCCUGCUGAAAACUCCAUGCCCCCAGCUUUGAAGCGGACUCAGCAUCAAUCCAAUGAGCGUCCAAGUCAUCCACAGAAACUCGGAACACACAACUGAGCUCUGUGACCAUGACAACAUCAUCAGUCUCUAGAUUACAUCAUCCAAGUCUGCUCACCAUUUGAAGAUGGGCCGUGAAUUGAGAAAAAAAAAAAGACUUGAAGGAAGCCAGGGGUGAUGGUUCACACCUAUAAACCCAGCACUUCAGAGACAGAAGGCUGAGAAAAGAAGGGUGGAGGACUUACAGGACUUUCUGGGAAAUAAUGCUAAUAAAAAUGUAACACUUUUUAA